ACUGUCUCCCGCAUCAGUGAUGAGUAGAAGGGUCCUGGGCGAAGCCCCCCAAGGAAAACCCCCCUAAGUAACUCUGGAUCUACUCCUGGAAUUUGCCGUGCUUCAUUAGAAAACCUGCGGAAGUAGUCUUUGAGAGACUCUCCUUCAUUUUGACGAAUUCCUGAGAGAUGGGAUGAAUCCUUGAUGAUCCUUCGAUUUGCGAUGAACUGCUCCGCAAAAAGUUUAGCAAGCUCGUUAAAUGUGUUUAUAGUGCCCCCCGGUAGAGAGUAGAACCAAGUUCGAGCUUGUCCUUUAAGAGUAGCCGGAAAUACUUGACACAAAA